rnacentral:RNase_P_RNA from 1 species
CCAGAGGGGCGGAUGGCCGCUGCUUUUUGUAAAAAAGGUAGAGGAAAGUCCGGGCUUCACGGAAAGACGGCGCCGGGUAACGCCCGGGGAAGGCUUCAACGCCUUUACGGAAAGUGCCACAGAAAACAGACUACCUCGUCCUCGGACGGGGAAAAGGUGAAAAGGUGCGGUAAGAGCGCACCGCGCGACUGGCAACAGGAGCGGCACGGUAAACCCCGCCGGAAGCAAGACCAAAUAGGGACCGCGCUGCGGCUUCGGCCGCAAGGAUGGUUUCCGGAUCCGCGGUCCGGGUAGGUUGCUAGAGGCAAUGGGUAAUCAUUGCCCCAGAUGAAUGGCCAUCGCCGGGCGCGGAGCGAUCUUCGUCCGGUACAGAACCCGGCUUACAGCCCCUCUGGACAU